GCCUCCGUGGUGAAAUGGAUAUCACGCGACGCUUCGGACGUCGUAUUGUGGGUUCGAAUCCUGCCGGAGGCA
rnacentral:tRNA from 1 species